CUGGGCGUCUGUCAUCUUUUUGCUGAGGUGCUGGGCGCCUUUCAUCUUUUCGCUGAUGUGCUGGGCGCCUGUCAUCCCUUUGCUGAAGUGAUGGGCGCCUGUCAUCCCUUUGCUGAAGUGAUGGGCGCCUUUCAUCCCUUUGCUGAAGUGCUGGGCGCCUGUCAUCCCUUUGCUGGAGUGCUGGCCGCCUGUCAUCUCUUUGCUGAAGUGCUGGGCGCCUAUCAUCUCUUUGCUGAGGUGCUGGGCGCCUGCUAUCUCUUUGCUGAAAUGUUGGGCGCCUAUCGUCCAAGGGACGUGCUAAAUUUCUAGCAGGUGGUGGUUUUAUCUGUUAGCAUCACAAAUUUCGAUCAGUAAAUUCUCGAAGGUUGAAAAGUUACAAAAAAUAAACAAAAAUCUCACCCUUACUCAACGAAAAUGAAACAGCCAAAAUAUAUUUACUUAAAAAACAGGACCCCUAGAAAAGAAAAU
rnacentral:lncRNA from 1 species